GGCCGGAGCAAGCGUUGAUUCGGAUUUACUGGGCGUAAAGGGCGCGCUACGCGGCCACCGAAAGUCGACUGCUGAAAUCUCCGGGUUUAACCCGGAAAGGUCAUCCAAUACUGCGGGGUUAAAUCGCGUAAGGGGCAACUGGAAUUCUCGGUGUACCGGUGAAAUGCGUAAAUAUCGAGAGGAACACCUGGGGGGAAGGCGGGUUGUUGGGCUGACACUGACCCUGAGGCGCAAAACCUAGGGGAGCGAACGGAUAUUAAAUACCCCGGUAUCCCUAGCCUUAAACAAUGAAAGCUUGGUUGUCUGGGGUUUUAUACUCCCCGGCUGCCGUCGCUAACUCUUUACGCAUUCCUCCUGAGGAGUACGGUCGCAAGACUG
rnacentral:rRNA from 1 species